rnacentral:rRNA from 1 species
UACGAAGGGGCUAGCGUUGUUCGGAAUUACUGGGCGUAAAGCGCACGUAGGCGGAUAUUUAAGUCAGGGGUGAAAUCCCAGAGCUCAACUCUGGAACUGCCUUUGAUACUGGAGAUCUGGAGAUCGGGAGAGGUUGGUGGAAUUCCGAGUGUAGAGGUGAAAUUCGUAGAUAUUCGGAGGAACACCAGAAGCGAAGGCGGCCAACUGGCCCGAUACUGACGCUGAGGCGCGAAAGCGUGGGGAGCAAACAGG